UACGUAGGGUGCAAGCGUUAAUCGGAAUUACUGGGCGUAAAGCGUGCGCAGGCGGUUGUGCAAGACAGAUGUGAAAUCCCCAGGCUCAACCUGGGAACUGCGUCCGAUACUGGAUGGCUUGAAUUCGGGAGAGGGAUGCAGAAUUCCAGGUGUAGCGGUGAAAUGCGUAGAUAUCUGGAGGAAUACCGGUGGCGAAGGCGGCAUCCUGGACCGACAUUGACGCUGAGGAGCGAAAGCUAGGGGAGCAAACGGG
rnacentral:rRNA from 1 species